AUCACAGGCAGAGGGGAGGAUUUUGUGUGGGAGUGUCUGUGUUUAUUGUACGGAUUGAUUGGUUGUAUUUCAAAACUCUGUGGGCAGUACUAUGUUUGUGGAUUGUGAAUAAAAGAGGCUGUAUGUGCCAGUACAGUCAGUUCUACUUCACCCUUAAUUUGGAGUGUCGUCUCUUAUUGGGGGAACCUGCUACAAGGGAUUGCUAUGCUCUGCAUACUCUCUUGCUAUAUUCACUGCUAAGCUCUUGUAAGAGCUUGUUCCUGUUUUUACUCUCUGAAGGAGUCUACGGUGGUUAUGGUGUCUGCUGCAGUGCUUGGAGUCCUCAGGAAAUGCUAGGAGUAUCCUUCAACGGAGGUACCCAGUCGGGGUGCCCGUCGAUCCAUUACAAUUACGUUUUUGGAUUCUAGCAAUUGAUACAUUGUGCGCCGGAUGCAGGUGGACACAGUGUAUACAAGCAGUUAUUGUAGCACACUCUGUGGCUACACUCAGCAAGCAAUAGCAACUGCAAAGGAUAUCACGAUCAAGAUACUAGCGAUAUGAGGAGUGAUAUGGUCCCUUUCAGUUCUGUACGCUAUGUUAUAUAGCUUGAUGGAGCAGGAUUAGGCUAUCUAUAAGUCUAGCAACAGGGCGCUCAUCCUUUAAGAUCCUCAAGCUAGAGAUUCAGUGCCACCUAUUUUAGG